rnacentral:tRNA from 1 species
GCUGUUGUAGCUCAGUGGUAGAGCACUCCCUUGGUAAGGGAGAGGUCCAGGGUUCGAAUCCCUGCAACAGCACCA